GAGGCUAUAGCUCAGUGGUAGAGCACAUGCUUAGCAUGCACAAGGUCCUGGGUUCAAUCCCCAGUACCUCA
rnacentral:tRNA from 1 species